rnacentral:rRNA from 1 species
AGAGUUUGAUCCUGGCUCAGAACGAUCGCUGGCGGCGUGCCUAAUACAUGCAAGUCGAACGAGAGGAUGGAGCAAUCCAUUAGUAAAGUGGCAGACGGGUGAGUAGUACAUAGGUAACUUACCCUUUAGUUGGGGAUAACCUUCCGAAAGGAGGGCUAAUACCGAAUAAGACCACGAGAACUACGGUUCUAGGGGUUAAAGGUGGCUUCGGCUAUCGCUAAAGGAUGGGCUUAUGCACCAUCAGCUAGUUGGUGAGGUAACGGCUCACCAAGGCUUUGACGGUUAACUGAUCUGAGAGGUUGAUCAGUCACACUGGAACUGAGACACGGUCCAGACUCCUACGGGAGGCAGCAGUAGGGAAUAUUGCGCAAUGGAGGAAACUCUGACGCAGCGACGCCGCGUGGGUGAUGAAGGCCUUCGGGUCGUAAAGCCCUGUCGGAGGGGAAGAAAAACGAUGUGGCUAAUAUCCACGUCGCUUGACGGUACCCUUAAAGGAAGCACCGGCUAACUACGUGCCAGCAGCCGCGGUAAUACGUAGGGUGCUAGCGUUGUUCGGAAUCAUUGGGCGUAAAGCGCGUGUAGGUUGUUAUGUAAGUCGGAUGUGAAAUCCCUGGGCUCAACCGAGGAAGUGCAUCCGAAACUAUAUGGCUAGAGGACGGUAGAGGAAGGUGGAAUUCCAAGUGUAGAGGUGAAAUUCGUAGAUAUUUGGAGGAAUACCGGCGGCGAAGGCGGCCUUCUGGGCCGUUCCUGACACUGAGACGCGAAAGCGUGGGUAGCAAACAGGAUUAGAUACCCUGGUAGUCCACGCUGUAAACGA